CUUCACUCUCGAGCAAAAAUACAAUUCUGCAGUCAAGUGUUCGAGCAUAUGUUCAGACAUUUUCUAGGUUUGUAAAUAUCGCUCAAAACAAAGCAUAAGAAAUGCAGAUCAAUUCAGCAUGUGAGUUUAUUCAGAUCUAUUCGGCCUCCGGCUUUGUAAAACGGAGCCAGUAGAGAGUCUGAUUGUAGCCAGACAAGGACAAAUGGGCACAAUGCAUUCAUUCAUGCUCAUGCAAUAAUUAGCUCCCGUCAGGCCCAAGAAAGGUUGCCGGUUGAGUAGUUGACACAUUAAAGUUAUACGGAGCAAGAAAAAAAGAGAGGGUGAGGUCUAAGUGUUAAGCAUGGCACAGCUGCAUGAAGUCUAAUAGUCUCCUGCCUUUGACAUGGUGCUUGUUCAGCGAUUAGAGCAAAGGUGACGCGAGGUGAUGAGUGUUUAGGGUUGUAGUAAUGGCUGAAGUCAGGCCAACCUGGCUCACUUUUUAUCCCCCCCCCCCGUAGUGGGUGUGUGUUUAUGCACCAGCUUCUGUGUGUUCAGGCCCAACGCUCGGCGGCUCGUUCUCCUAAUCGUGCGGAAACUCAGACUACUUACAGGAGCAAUGAGGGAGGUAAUGAGAAAGUAAUUUUUACUAAUUUCGGCUAGCUCUGCUUUCCGUUCUGUGUGACUCUGUGAGCCGUCUGCAUCAUUACGGGAAACAUCUGCAACAGCUCGCCAUGCGUGCGCCACCGAGAAGAGAGGGAGGGCGAAGGAACAAAGAAAGAAAGAAAGAAGGGAGGAAAGACAACAGACUGGUGACUGAGUUUUUGAUAUGGUCUGAGGAAAACAAAGCCUGCCAAUCCUCUGUGCUCAUACUGCCUCCUGUUGUUGAGAUUCUUCCUCAUCAAGGUGGUUUUAGUCAGAGACAAUGAAACCCUCUGCCGAGAUGUUUUUUUUCCUCCUUUCGCAGAACAAGUCGGUCGCCAAGCAGCUGCCGCUAAUCUCCGCUAGCAGAGCUCCUCGAAACAGCUGACUACAGCCUUUGAGCUGGUCCCACCACAAUCAUUACCUCUGGAGCCAGAAGGGGGGAGUCUAACACAAUUGCAGAGGAGUAAACAAAUGAAACCUGAUUUGUGUCCAUUCGUCUGUCAUUCCUCUGGCUUUCAUGUAAUCUCAUUUGAAUAUUUGUUGAGGAGCCAAAGUCACUAUCGUUUCAUCUGUGCCUGUGUUUGCCUGGUUUAUCUGACUGUUACACCGAUCUUUCUGUUAGCUUUGCGGCAACUUUGAGCGGCUCGUUUUGCUUUGCCCACCUUUGACAUCCAGAGAAUCCAGAGGGGAUGUCAGCUCAGUCUUUCUGAAGCCUUGUUCAAGCUGUUUGUGGUUCCUCGGGCCCUCACAGCAGGCCACGGCUUGGCGUUUUCUGCUGUUUGCUUCAUGGUGCGGCUGUACGUCAAGCUAACACAUUGAGGCGGCUACAUGGGAUGACAAACACCGGUGUAAAUUUGUCUUUGUGAAACACGGUGUCACCAGAGAAGCUCCUCAUAUUGCAUGCAUUUCUUCAUCUCCUCUCUUUCGGCGCUUAUAUGAAAGUCUUCAACACAUGAGGGAACAGGUGCCCGUGAAAUAAAACUCUGGAGGUUUUCAGAAGUGUGAAGAGGAAACGCAGAGGCGCUACAGACGACAGAUUAUUUUCUAUAUGCUGUGAGGGCCGCAGAAGUCCCCUGUGAGGAGCCCACGGGGAAUACGUUACCAGCAACUUGACAUCAACAUCUGGACGUUUUGUUCUUUGCUCUUCUGAAGGAGGGGAAAAAAAGUGGACUUGUUUGGUGAUCGCAGGGGGGUUUGAUGCUCGCUGUGUUAUCAGAAGAUGCAGUGCUUUGCCAUUAUUGUGCCCCUGUGCUUAUUAUAGAUUCCAUUAAGAUGGCAGUUAAAUUGGAUGUCCCCAUCAGCUCCGGAGCAUGUUGUUUGUUUUAGGGAACCGAGUGCUGAGUCACAGAAGUAUUAUUAAGUCUUUCAGGAGAUAACAGAUGAAUUAAAGUGACAAAGUGAGCGGGGGGGCUGCCAUCUCUUCUUUCUUCUUGGUUUUAUUAAAAAAAAAAGAGAGAGAAAUCAAAACACUGUUAGACUUCAAUCUGUAUUUAAGAUAAAUUUGUGUCUUUUAAAUGAUUUCUGGUGAAGCAGUGAUGUCUGAAAGCCUGAAUUGACUUGAAUAUGUGAUGUCAGGUUACACUGCUGAGCCGCAGAUAACAGGCAGGAGACUGAUGUGGUGGACGCUGACAGAGCUUGAGUGAUUGGGGUUAUGAGCACAUUAGUUUUGUCAUACUAAAGGCUUAGAAAAUAAAUCAGUCUUCAAAGUCUGCCAGUCCACAGAGUAGGCACGAAAUUUGUUUCUCUGGGACUUCAUAGAUAAGUUGGACCUGGAAGUUGGAGUAGAGUUUACAGAGACAUUUUUUUAAGUUGAAUUUAGCGUCACUGUACGCUGAGCAACCGGGGGUACAACAGAUCCUCGUUCAGCUUUCCUGAGGUGUUUUACCAGGGGCUGAAUUAUCAAGAAAUGACUUCAACUAAAACUCAGAGUCACUCAUCUUUGUUCCCUUUCACUUCUUUUAAAGAAGAUUUCUACCAGGGGCAACAUUUUCUCCAGAGGUCUUAACUUCUCCGAAUCAAAAACAACGGUUCAUCAGCUGAACACAAAUAACCCAAAAUGCUGUUUCCCUCUCGCUUUUUUGUACAAGGAAAGCUGUUUGGGACCAUGUUUGCUUCAUCAGCUAUUAGGUGAGAGUAAAUAGUUUCGCUUACAGAGUAAUGAGGAGCACCACAGCAGCCAAUAUCAUCUAGUGGAGCAGCUGAGUACUAAAAAUCUGAGUUAUCAGCAGAUUUUUUUAUUUCUUCUGCAGAUACUUUCAACUAAAAGUCCAUUUUUAUCAGAAACUUAAAACCAAUCUCAGAAUUUCAACUCAAUAUGGACACAAAAGAUUCCUCCUCUAAACCUGCCGAGCAAUUGUGUAAAAUUUGAGCGACUAAAACUCCUUUUUUUUUUCUUUAACCAAUGAGAUAUUUUCUUCCCAUUUCUUUCCAAGUCAAACAACCUCCUUACACGCAGCAAUCAAGUGGACCUCCCGCACAACAAAUCCCUUUUUUUUCCCCUCAGCAGUCACUUUGGGCUUUAAGACAUUUUCCCUGCAUGGCUGAGAAAGGAGCACAUUGUAAAUGAAAGAUUAGUGCGAUUGUGUUACAUUAUUGUGAGGUUCCCCUCUCAGCUUUGGCUGAUUUGUGAGCCCGUUCAACAAUGUUUCCGGCACACUCCCUUUGUAAUAGAUUCACUGGGCCUUGAAUUGUUGUGCAGCAGAAGCAGUUCAAUUAAUACAGCGGCACCAUAAAAUAACUAUUGAAAUGACAAACGGGUAAAUGAAUAAGCAUUUGCCUCUGCGGGUGCGGGGAGGGAUGUGUGUCUGCGGGAAUUUAUGCCGGCAAAUCAAGCGCUUUUGGGGACGACGAUGCAGUCGACUAAAUAUAUCCGGCUGUCACACACAAGAAGGGCCAGGUAAAAGAUGGACCCGUUAUCUCUCACACCGUCGACACAUGAUGGCUCAUUUGAAUAUUUACAGCUGCAUCUGAGGGAGGUGGAAUGAUCUCCCAUCAUUAGGCCACGGCCUUCCAGUGUAGAAUAAAAAUGCAUCAAAGACAGCGGUGAAUGUAAAGGGAGGAAAGUCCGCUUGCAGUGUGCUCAGGCAGGAAGAAAAGAAGGGCCUGCAGGUGCCAGGUGCACCGUUGACCGCGUGGUUGGAUGGAAUUUGGAAAACGCCCUCUCGCUGUUGUCAAUAUUCAUUUCCAGCAGCAUUUACAAAAGCCGCGAGGAUAAAUAUGCAUGAAGGCUGAAGGAGGUGGAAGCAGGGAGAGUAAGAACUCCUGGUUUUAGUCCACGAGCCCACAGUGUUCACUGCAUGCUGAUUAAACACUCAAGUGCAGGAUGACUAAGUCAUGUCUGACAACUGCGGGGUGAAUUUUUAAUUUACUCCCUGCCACAUCCAGGAGGUUGUCUAGUAUUAGUCAUGGCUGCUGUUUUUACUUGCUGUAAUUGGACUACGAUGUUUCCUGACUAUCUAAAGCUGGUUAUUUUUGGUGUUGCGUGUCACUGCUGGGAAUAAGUGCGUUUGGUUGUGGCUGUCUCCUGAUAUUUCCCAGCGAGACGAAAUGUCGACUUAAUAGCCAAAACGUUCAGGGCUGAGAAUGGCUCAAAAAAGAAAUUCGAAGUGAAAAUGAUCUGAUGUGAGGUAUGUUAAUCCUGGGAUCUGUUUAAAAAAUUAGAUCAAAUCUCAUUCGGCUUUCAGCUGGGAGCAUGCAGGAAAAUGGAUGGUGUCCAGAGUGUGGUUCACAUGGGUUUCAAUUAGCAGUGUCUAAAUGAAUUAAGAGGUUUAAAGCCAUUGCUGUUCUAGUGGUGGUAUUAACCUGGUGCUUCUCAUUAGCCACCCCUGGCUGAUAAAGAGAGUAAAGGGAGCGGCAGUGCAGACAGACACCUCUUGCUGACAACGGGUGACAGAGUGGAUCACACCGCCUCAUGAAUAGUAAUGCCCGCCAACAUGUCCCGCUCUCCCCCGUGCGAGGAGUGACGGAUUCCCGUGUCAACAGGGCCCAUGGCUGGGGAGAAAAGGACUGACAACUGACUGAGACGUUCUGGAGGGAGAAUGGAGAGAGAGGGAGAGAAAAAAUCCAGUCCUGACAUGAAGGCUGCAUCAUAAGAUUGUUUGUCUGUCAGAGCGACCGUCAUUGCCUCCCUGAGAGUGAGCAAAUAAAUACUGUUUGCAGGGAAAGGAAGUGAGACUGGAUUGUUACCCAGUGGCCUUUGGGGGUGCACGGGGAGGCGCUGGCAUGUCUCAAUAAAUCAGAGCGAGCAGCCACUCUUAAUGCACUCCCCUAACUAUCGAUAAGGGAAAGGAGAGGCAAACGCGCCUUUUUUCCUGAGGAGGAGUGAUGUCACUGAUAACCCGGUGGGCACACUCUCUUCCUGACUGACCAGGUCCUGGCUGAUCAAUAGCGACACAAUGUCUCGCUCGACGAUUGCGCAGGUGAGCAGAAUGUCAAAUAAGCAGCAUGAGACGCGGUUGAACCAAGAGCAGCUUCCUAAUGGAGCCUGGAGUCAGCUGUGAUGUCAACAGCUGUAGACAGGAGGCAGAAAAAGCUGCUGUGAGCGGGGUGCUUUAGCCGGUCCUCAACCUUCAAACAGCCAUGGCUCAGAUUGGCAUCUCCACUCCAAAAUAACGAGACUGAGAUUUAUUUUUUUUGAAAACCUCCUAUUUUAUUACCGUUAGCCUGGGGCUGGAGUUUAGAGGUGUUGACUGGACUUGGAGAACAGAAAAUAGAAGAAUUGUUCACUGGGUACCUGUGAAGGUAUUUCGACCUGGACUGAGUUCAGAGCAAAAGUUGAUACAAAAGGUUUCAGGUCGUGACUGAUGUUAACCCUGCUCCAUCUGCAGUUCAUUAUUUUGAACACCUGAAUCAACUGUCCUCCAUACAGCCAUGUUGGCUUGUCAGUAGAACAAGGACAAAAUAAAGUCCAAUGUACUACAGGCACAAACUCAGGGUUGGAGUUUUAUAUUCUGCAUGUUUUCCUCAGGCUUGCAGUCAGCCUGAUGCAAAACUGUGCCACUUUUAGACAAGACUAAGUUCAGGCAGUUGUUGCAGGUGCGACCUGCGGGUAAAGUUUGUUGACAUUUUUGACCUGCAUGUGUGAGGCUGACCAAGUCCAGUCAGAAACCUCUAAAUCACUGCCAAAAUCCAUGACUUUCACGACAACAUAACAACAUGGCUGUUUGACUUGUGUAAGGGUUCCUCUAUGCCAGGACUAUGAGAAUUACAUUGUAAGAAUGACAUUGACUGAUGGACAUAAGCUGUUAUAGAAACAAAACAUCUCAAAUAUAUAACUCUGUAGUAUGUUAUUUCACUGAUCAGCCACCUAAAACAACUAAAUGUCACAGAGGAAGCAAAUACAUCGCUUGGGAGUCGCAAAGAUGAAGCUGCAAUCUU